rnacentral:rRNA from 1 species
GAUGAACGCUGGCGGUCUGCUUAACACAUGCAAGUCGAACGGGCUCUUCGGAGCUAGUGGCGGACGGGUGAGUAACGCGUGAGGAUCUGCCCUUAGGAUGGGGACAACAGCUGGAAACGGCUGCUAAUACCCGAUGUGCCGAGAGGUGAAACUAUUUGGCCUGAGGAUGAGCUCGCGUCUGAUUAGCUAGUUGGAGUGGUAACGGCACACCAAGGCGACGAUCAGUAGCUGGUCUGAGAGGAUGAUCAGCCACACUGGGACUGAGACACGGCCCAGACUCCUACGGGAGGCAGCAGUGGGGAAUUUUCCGCAAUGGGCGAAAGCCUGACGGAGCAAGACCGCGUGCGGGAGGAAGGUCUAUUGAUUGUAAACCGCUUUUGAUAGGGAAGAAGAUCUGACGGUACCUAUCGAAUCAGCAUCGGCUAACUCCGUGCCAGCAGCCGCGGUAAUACGGGGGAUGCAAGCGUUAUCCGGAAUUAUUGGGCGUAAAGCGUCCGUAGGUGGUUUUAAAAGUCUGUUGUCAAAUCGCGAGGCUUAACCUCGUACAGGCAGUGGAAACUAUAAGACUAGAGUGCGGUAGGGGUAGAGGGAAUUUCCAGUGUAGCGGUGAAAUGCGUAGAUAUUGGAAAGAACACCGGUGGCGAAGGCGCUCUACUGGGCCUGCACUGACACUGAGGGACGAAAGCUAGGGGAGCGAAAGGGAUUAGAUACCCCUGUAGUCCUAGCCGUAAACGAUGGAAACUAGGUGUUGCCCG